rnacentral:rRNA from 1 species
GGGAAAGGCGGUUAGUUUUGGACCGUUUCGGUGCCCUCUCGACGUUCCGUGAAAACCCAGCGGCGUGACUUAUUCGCACCCCUGGUCGUGCUCAUCACCGCAUCAGGUCUCCAAGGUUAGCAGCGUCUAGUCGAUAGAAGAAUGUAGAUAAGGGAAGGCGGCAAACUAGAUCCGUAACUUCGGGAAAAGGAUUGGGUCUGAGGGUUGGGCCUAGGGGUCUCUGGGACAAUGUUGCGACUGCUAGGAGGGACUGCGGCUCACGCUGCGGACCCACCGGGCGGUUCUUCGGCGGCCCAGAGGAUGCUUGCCUCGUGCAUGCUUUCCCUAGCGCGAUGAACAACCGGCUCAGAACUGGAGCGGACAAGGGAA